rnacentral:rRNA from 1 species
CUUGUACACACCGCCCGUCACACCAUGGGAGUGGGUUUCACCAGAAGUAGGUAGCCUAACCGCAAGGGGGCGCUUACCACGGUGAGAUCCAUGACUGGGGUG